UACGGAGGGUGCGAGCGUUGUCCGGAAUCAUUGGGCGUAAAGGGCGCGUAGGUGGCGGGACAAGCGUGCGGUGAAAGCUCGGGGCUCAACCCCGCGUCGGCCGUGCGAACUGCUUUGCUUGAGCACUGUAGAGGCAGGCGGAAUUCCGGGUGUAGCGGUGGAAUGCGUAGAGAUCCGGAAGAACACCGGUGGCGAAGGCGGCCUGCUGGGCAGUAGCUGACACUGAGGCGCGACAGCGUGGGGAGCAAACAGG
rnacentral:rRNA from 1 species